rnacentral:tRNA from 1 species
AAUUUAAAAUGAAACUAUAUAUUCAUAUAACUGAUACCACAAAUCAAUAUUUUAAUUAAAUUAUUUAAAU